GGAAAAAAAGCAAGAGAAUAGAAAGAAAAAUAAGAAAGAACUCAAUAAUAAAGAAAGGAAGGAAGAAAGAAAGAAAGAUAAAAAGAAAAAGAAAGAAAACACGUAUUGACACUUACUUAUUUACUUAAAACACUUAUUUAUGGACUUACUCACUUAUUUAUUCACUUAUUUAAGUAUUUAUUCACUUAUCUAUGUAUUUAUUUACUUAUUUAUUUACUUAUCAACACAAGUAGAGACAAGGAGAAGUGUAUCAGUACUUAACACUUUCCUCACCUCACUUAUAAGGAAUCAAACACCUUACUUAUCUGCUUAGCGCCUUAAGACUGACCUACUUAAAUGUACUUAUUAGCUUACCUGUGUACUAAUGGAGCAGUCAGCCAUUGUAACAGAAAACGAGGCAUUAUGAGACCAGUAACAUCAAUAAUAAUAAUAAUAAUAAUAAUAAUAAUAAUAAUAAUAAUAAUAAUGACAAUGGCUCUGCUUUUAAUACGUGUUGUGAAAAUAUUUUAUUAGCACUGACAGAAAAUUUACAAGAGGCAUUCAUUUACUUUAGAGUUAGUGAUAGAAGUGAGCAUAUUAAAUUACAGUAAGGCAAAAAAAAAGGCGAAUAGAAACACUCCGCUCUCUCACCAACACUGUUUUGCAAGGCCACAGAGAUGACUAAGAGGUGUUCCCAAGACGGUUUCUCGUGUUAACAGUGAAGAAAUGUUAAUCUGUCACUAGAACCACAAAAACACUCUUAAAAACCCGUGUCACUUAUCAUAACUGAUUUAAAAGGCCACAGAGAUGACUAAGAGAUGUUAUUAAGAGUUUUUCAUGUUAAUAAUACUACAAUAUUGUUAAUCUUAUCUUGGAAUCGUUAAAACACUAAAAAAAAACCCGUGUCACUUCACCAUAACUAUUUUCUAAGGCCACAGAGAUGACUAAGAAGUGUUAUUAAGUGUGUUUUCCGUGUUAAUAAUGCUAAAAUAUUGUUAAUCUUGUCUUAGAAUCGUUAAAACACUUAAAACCCGUGUCACUUCACCAUAACUGAUUUAAAAGGCCACAGAGAUGACUAAGAGGUGUUAUUAUGAGUUUCUCGUGUUAAUAAUGCUAAAAUAUUGUUAACGUGUCCUUGGAAUCGUUAAAACACAAAAACCCGCGUCACGUCACUCGAGCCACUGAACAGUAUGUAGCGAGUCGGCGGAGCUUCACUGCUUCAGAACCACUGCUCACAAAACAUGCACUUAUUUAACUUUACACUUAAGUUAUAAGUAUCAGCACCUUUUAGAAGUUACAAAUUAUACUAUUGUAAGUGUUUAUUGACUUGUUUGUUACUUACGGAAGAGGAAGAGGAAGGAUGAGGAAGCAAUAAUGAGUCAACAAGGAUGGAUGGAAAUUACUUACUUAUUUGUCAUAUAUUCCGUCAGUCCAUCGCUUCUCACUCCAUUUUUCCCGCCAAAUCUUCCUCCCUGGUGGUGAAUCUCCUUGGGUGUUGCAAGAAUUACACUGCAGGAGGUGAAUUCACGCAGAUGUCGGCGGAUAAAAUGUAAUAGACUCUUUCUCUUACAAUACACGCCUUUUGACACUGGCACGCGGGGGGUACGAGACUAUAAACAUUUACGCUUCAUUUAUUUAUCUAUUUAUUUAUCACAGUGGCAUUUUGAUCUUUAGAAACACGUGUAGAAAUUUUUACUGGUUAUUUUCUUGAUGAUGUGAUUUAGUGAGUGUUAAGCCCCAGAGGAAUACAUUUAUUUAUUUAUUUAUUUUUAUGGUCGUGUUUUAUGUUGAGGGAAAUGUUGGUACGUCAUGCCAAGGAAAGGAAGGAAAAGACACAGAGAUUGGAAAAAAAUUGCUCAUUAUCACUCCUACCUAAACAAACUGCCUAACAUUUUAUUUAUUCAAUUUUUACGUACAUUUAUUUUGUUUUCUUAUACGAGCCUACCAUUUUUUCUGUCAAAAUUAUGAAUGGUUUAAAAAUCACUUAAGGACGCCCUUAGAAAAAAUAGAUAAAUAAAAUAACAGCUAUCCAUCUUUAUUGGCCAAAAAAUUAACGAUAAAAAAUAAUGAUAAAUAAAUAAAUAAAACGUUUAGGCAGUUUGUUGAUAGUGAUGUUCUUCAUGUAAAUACAAUAAGAAAUAUCUAAUAAUUGCGUGCCUUACUGCCAGGACUAACCUAACCAGUCAUUUGUAGCGAGUUUAUAAUAAAAGAAGUGAUAUUUUAA
rnacentral:lncRNA from 1 species